rnacentral:rRNA from 1 species
ACCUUCGGGCCUCGCGCUAUCAGAUGAGCCUGCGUAGGAUUAGCUAGUUGGUGAGGUAAAGGCUCACCAAGGCGACGAUCCUUAGCUGGUCUGAGAGGAUGAUCAGCCACACUGGGACUGAGACACGGCCCAGACUCCUACGGGAGGCAGCAGUGGGGAAUAUUGCGCAAUGGGCGAAAGCCUGACGCAGCCAUGCCGCGUGUGUGAAGAAGGCCUUAGGGUUGUAAAGCACUUUCAAUUGGGAAGAAAAGUUGGUCGUUAAUAGCGGCCAGCCCUGACAUUACCUUUAGAAGAAGGACCGGCUAACUCCGUG